CAGCAUCUUAUUGAUUUAUAAAU
rnacentral:snRNA from 1 species